rnacentral:rRNA from 1 species
UACGUAGGCAGCAAGCGUUGUUCGGAAUUAUUGGGCGUAAAGAGUGUGUAGGCGGUGUUCUAAGUCUGUCGUGAAAUCUCCCGGCUUAACUGGGAGGGUGCGGCGGAAACUGGAAUGCUAGAGGGUGGGAGAGGUAAGCGGAAUUCCUGGUGUAGCGGUGAAAUGCGUAGAUAUCAGGAGGAACACCUGCGGUGUAGACAGCUUACUGGACCACUUCUGACGCUGAGACACGAAAGCGUGGGUAGCAAACAGG